GUUUAUGACAAUCUCUUUUUCAGGGAAGACCAGAGACAACCCCUCUCCUCUUGACUCAGGUCAGGGUUCGAGUGAAAGUUCUAGUGAAGGUUCUAGUCAGGAGGGAUCUCCAACUGGCAGCCAUGAAGAUACUGAUGAGAACCAAGAACUGUUACCUGGUAAAGGGAGCGUGAGGCAACUCCAUUGAAGAAAAAGAGGUCCAGAACCCUCUGCUGGGAAAGGAUGGAGCUAAUGUGUGAUUUAUGCUGCUUUAAAAUGGAUUCUUGCAUCAUCUAUCCAUAAUGUAAAACUAAUAUACGCUUUUUAUUUGGAUCAUUUAUAUUCUGUAUACUUAAGAUCCUUACAUGAUCCUACUAUAUCAUACUAUUAUAUUUGCCAUUCUAUUAUAACUAUCCUAUUAUACAUCCUGUGACGUAAGUAAUGUACCUAUACUGCAUUUGCAAAAGCGUUACAGCCUUGUCUUGUAACUAUUUGGUACACCUUCUAUCACCAGAGGGAUAUGUUUACAAUAUAAACUGUAGACAUGAGUUUUCCAAAUGAAAUAUUAAAGGCAUGACAAUGAGCGAACACAGAUAGGUGUUGGCUAAAUCAUAAACAGACUGGACCACCCGGCUAGCAUAGUAUAGACAAAGAAUAUAUACUGAACAAAAACAUAAACGCAACAUGCAACAAUUUCAAAGAUUGUACUGAGUUACAGUUCAUAUAAGGAAUUCAGUCCGUUUAAAUAUAUUAAUUAGGCCCUAAUCUAUGGAUUUCACAAGACUGUGCAGGGGCACAGCUAUGGUUAGGCCAGGGAGGGCAUAGGCCCACCCACUUGGGAGCCAGGCCCAGCCAAUCAGAAUGAGUUUUCCCCCACAAAAGGGUGUUAUUACAGACAGAAAUAGUCCUCAGCUGUCUGGGUGGCUGGUCUCAGACAAUCCCGCAGGUGAAGAAGCUGUAUGUGUAGGUCCUGGGCUGCCGUGGUUACACGUGGUCUGCGGUUGUGAGGCCGGUUGGACGAACUGCCAAAUUCUCUCAAAUGACUUUCCAGGCAGCUUAUGGUAGAGAAAUGAACAUUACAUUAUCUUGCAACAACUCUGGUAGAUAUUACACUCAGCAUACCAAUUGCAUGCUCCCUCAAAACAUAAGACAUAUGUGGCAUUGUGUUGUGUGACAAAGUUGCACAUUUUAGAGUGGCCUUUUAUUGUCCCCAGCACCUGUUUUAUUUUCCCAAGGUGCACCUGUGUAAUGAUCAUGCUAUUUAAUCAGCUUCUUGAUAUGUCACAACUGUCAGGUAGAUGGAUUAUCUUGGCAAAUGAGAAAUGCUCACUAACAGGGUUGUAAACAAAUUUGUGCCCAACAUUUGAGAGAAAUAAGCUUUUUGUGCUUAUGGAACAUUUCUGGGAUCUUUUAUUUCAGCUCAUGAAACAUGGGACCUACACUUUACAUGUUGCUUUAAUAUUUUUGUUCCCGGAUAGAAUUAAACAAAGAAUGUAAGUAAAAUUCCAUUACCAUGGAUUCUUUCACUCUAUGAAUUCAACAAGAUUAUUUUCCUCUGGAAAACCAUAACAAUUAACUAUCCCACAAUCUGAAAUCAAAGAGUGCGAUCAGAUGGAGACCCAAUAAAUUACAUUUGAAGGAUUUGACUCGUACAUCAAGUAACAAUGCAAUAAUAACUUCGUUUUUUCGAUAUUUUUUUUUUAUACCUCAUAUGUCAUUCUCAGACCUCUGACCUGAUUUCUGUCCUUCAACAAAUUUCAUUAAAUAACAUUGGGCUGUUUAAA